AGAGUUUGAUCCUGGCUCAGGAUGAACGCUGGCGGCGUGCCUAACACAUGCAAGUCGAGCGAAGCGAUUUUGAGGAAGUUUUCGGAUGGAAUCGAAAUUGACUUAGCGGCGGACGGGUGAGUAACACGUGGGUAAUCUGCCUUAUACAGGGGGAUAACAGUUAGAAAUGACUGCUAAUACCGCAUAAGCGCACGGGGACGCAUGUUUCUGUGUGAAAAACUCCGGUAGUAUAAGAUGAGCCCGCGUCUGAUUAGCUGGUUGGUGGGGUAACGGCCUACCAAGGCGACGAUCAGUAGCCGGCCUGAGAGGGUGAACGGCCACAUUGGGACUGAGACACGGCCCAAACUCCUACGGGAGGCAGCAGUGGGGAAUAUUGCACAAUGGGGGAAACCCUGAUGCAGCGACGCCGCGUGAGUGAAGAAGUAUUUCGGUAUGUAAAGCUCUAUCAGCAGGGAAGAAAAAAGACGGUACCUGACUAAGAAGCCCCGGCCAACUACGUG
rnacentral:rRNA from 1 species